UACAGAGGGUGCGAGCGUUGUCCGGAAUCACUGGGCGUAAAGGGCGCGUAGGCGGUCUGCUAAGCGUGUGGUGAAAGCCCGGGGCUCAACCCCGGGUCGGCCAUGCGAACUGGCGGACUGGAGCUUGUCAGAGGCAGGCGGAAUUCCGGGUGUAGCGGUGGAAUGCGUAGAGAUCCGGAAGAACACCGGUGGCGAAGGCGGCCUGCUGGGACAGUGCUGACGGCUGAGGCGCGACAGCGUGGGGAGCAAACAGG
rnacentral:rRNA from 1 species